rnacentral:rRNA from 1 species
CUCCUACGGGAGGCAGCAGUAGGGAAUAUUGGUCAAUGGGCGCAAGCCUGAACCAGCCAUGCCGCGUGCAGGAUGACGGCCUUCUGGGUUGUAAACUGCUUUUAUCAGGGAAGAAAACGGCCAUGCGUGGCAGAUUGACGGUACCUGAAGAAUAAGCACCGGCUAACUCCGUGCCAGCAGCCGCGGUAAUACGGAGGGUGCAAGCGUUGUCCGGAUUUAUUGGGUUUAAAGGGUGCGUAGGCGGAUUAUUAAGUCAGUGGUGAAAGUUUGCGGCUCAACCGUAAAAGUGCCAUUGAUACUGGUAGUCUUGAGUACAGUAGAGGUAGGCGGAAUUUAUGGUGUAGCGGUGAAAUGCAUAGAUACCAUAAAGAACACCGAUAGCGAAGGCAGCUUACUAUACUGAGACUGACGCUGAGGCACGAAAGCGUGGGGAGCGAACAGGAUUAGAUACCCUGGUAGUCCACGCUGUAAACGAUGAAGACUCGCUGUUGGCGAUACACAGCCAGUGGCCAAGCGAAAGCGUUAAGUCUUCCACCUGGGGAGUACGAUCGCAAGAUUGAAACUCAAAGGAAUUGACGG